rnacentral:rRNA from 1 species
GACGAACGCUGGCGGCGUGCUUAACACAUGCAAGUCGAACGAAGAGCGAUGGAAGCUUGCUUCUAUCAAUCUUAGUGGCGCACGGGUGAGUAACGCGUAAUCAACCUGCCCUUCAGAGGGGGACAACAGUUGGAACCGACUUCUAAUACCGCAUACGAUCUAUCCCGGCAUCGCGGAUAGAUGAAAGGUGGCUUCUACAUGUAAGCUAUCACUCAAGGCGGGGAUUGCGUCUGAUUAACUAGGUGGAGGGGUAACGGCCCACCAAGGCGAUGAUCAGUAGGCGGACUGGAGGGAGGGACGGCCACAAUGGGACUGGGACACGGCCCAGACCCCUAAGGGAGGCAACAGGGGGGAAACUUCCGCAAAGGAGGAAAGGCUGACGGGGCAACGCCGGGGGGGGGAUGACGGCCUUCGGGUUGGAAAGCUCGGUUUAUCGGGACGAAAGGACUUCGUGCGAAUAGAGAGAAGGAUUGACGGUACCGGAACAGAAAGCCACGGCUAACUACGUG